AGAGUUUGAUCAUGGCUCAGGACGAACGCUGGCGGCAUGCCUAAUACAUGCAAGUCGAGCGAAUCGAUAGGAGCUUGCUCCUUGAGAUUAGCGGCGGACGGGUGAGUAACACGUGGGCAACCUGCCCUGCAGAUGGGGAUAACUCCGGGAAACCGGGGCUAAUACCGAAUAAUCAAUUCCUUCGCAUGAAGGAAUUCUGAAAGACGGUUUCGGCUGUCACUGCAGGAUGGGCCCGCGGCGCAUUAGCUAGUUGGUGGGGUAAUGGCCUACCAAGGCAACGAUGCGUAGCCGACCUGAGAGGGUGAUCGGCCACACUGGGACUGAGACACGGCCCAGACUCCUACGGGAGGCAGCAGUAGGGAAUCUUCCACAAUGGACGAAAGUCUGAUGGAGCAAUGCCGCGUGAGUGAAGAAGGUUUUCGGAUCGUAAAGCUCUGUUGCGAGGGAAGAACACGUACGGGAGUAACUGCCCGUACCUUGACGGUACCUCGUCAGAAAGCCACGGSUAACUACGUGCCAGCAGCCGCGGUAAU
rnacentral:rRNA from 1 species